rnacentral:tRNA from 2 species
CGCAGGGUGGUGAAACGGUAUCACGCGGGGUUCCUGUCCCCGAGUCGAAAGUCCAACUCUUUCCCCUGCAACCA